rnacentral:rRNA from 1 species
AGCCAUGCAUGUCCAAGUACAAGCCACAUUAAGGUGAAACCGCGAAUGGCUCAUUAAAUCACAUCUAAUAUACCGGACAGUGUCCAGUUACUUGGAUAACUGCGGUAAUUCUGGAGCUAAUACAUGCGACCAAGCCCUGAACUCACGUGAAGGGCGCUUUUAUUAGACCAAAACCAAACGACCUCGGUCGUCCCCCUUGGUGACUCUGAAUAACUUUGUGCUGAUCGCACGGCUUAACGCCGGCGACGUGUCCGUCUAAGGUGUGCCCUAUCAACUUUCGACUGUGGCCUAGUCGCCCACAGUGGUUUUGACGGGUAACGGGGAAUCAGGGUUCGAUUCCGGAGAGGGAGCCUGAGAAACGGCUACCACUUCUACGGAAGGCAGCAGGCACGCAAAUUACCCACUGGUCGAAGACCGAGGUAGUGACGAAAAAUAACGAUACCGGACUCAUCCGAGGCCCGGUAAUCGGAAUGAGUACACUUUAAAUCCUUUAACGAGGAACAAUUGGAGGGCAAGUCUGGU